UUUCCGUAGGUGAACCUGCGGAAGGAUCAUUAACACGUAUCCACGUAUCAACCCCCUCUGUGACAAACAACCCUGUUUAAGGUUGGUCGUAGCCUGACCAGUUCGCAUGGACCUCAAUGAUGGAGGCUCGCAAGGGCCUGAGGUUCGAGCUGUCAGGUGCUUGAUGACUGGCCGAUAUUUUCCCAUCAUUAGCCCCAUUUAACCCAAUUUUUUAAAACCCCUUUGUACUUCUCUGUACUGAACCAAUUCUUUCGAGUUCUCUUAGGAUGAACACGAAAAGAUAUUACGAAACUAAAGAACAACUCUUAGCAACGGAUAUCUUGGUUCCC
rnacentral:misc_RNA from 1 species